rnacentral:rRNA from 1 species
CCGAGUGGCGGACGGGUGAGUAACGCGUGAGGAACCUGCCUCAAAGAGGGGGACAACAGUUGGAAACGACUGCUAAUACCGCAUAAGCCCACGACCCGGCAUCGGGAAGAGGGAAAAGGAGCAAUCCGCUUUGAGAUGGCCUCGCGUCCGAUUAGCUAGUUGGUGAGGUAACGGCCCACCAAGGCGACGAUCGGUAGCCGGACUGAGAGGUUGAACGGCCACAUUGGGACUGAGACACGGCCCAG